rnacentral:rRNA from 1 species
CUACGGGAGGCAGCAGUGGGGAAUAUUGCACAAUGGGCGCAAGCCUGAUGCAGCCAUGCCGCGUGUAUGAAGAAGGCCUUCGGGUUGUAAAGUACUUUCAGCGAGGAGGAAGGCRUUAAGGUUAAUAACCUURGYGAUUGACGUUACUCGCAGAAGAAGCACCGGCUAACUCCGUGCCAGCAGCCGCGGUAAUACGGAGGGUGCAAGCGUUAAUCGGAAUUACUGGGCGUAAAGCGCACGCAGGCGGUCUGUCAAGUCGGAUGUGAAAUCCCCGGGCUCAACCUGGGAACUGCAUUCGAAACUGGCAGGCUAGAGUCUUGUAGAGGGGGGUAGAAUUCCAGGUGUAGCGGUGAAAUGCGUAGAGAUCUGGAGGAAUACCGGUGGCGAA